rnacentral:tRNA from 1 species
GGAGAAAUAGCAGAGUGGAUAAUUGCGAUGGUUUCGAAAACCGUUUUAGUGAAAACUAACGGGGGUUCGAAUCCCCCUUUCUUCG